rnacentral:rRNA from 1 species
GGAGGAAAGCAGGGGAUCGCAAGACCUUGCGCUUUUAGAGCGGCCGAUGUCUGAUUAGCUAGUUGGUGAGGUAAAGGCUUACCAAGGCGUCGAUCAGUAGCUGGUCUGAGAGGACGACCAACCACACUGGGACUGAGACACGGCCCAGACUCCUACGGGAGGCAGCAGUGGGGAAUUUUGGACAAUGGGGGAAACCCUGAUCCAGCCAUGCCGCGUGAGUGAAGAAGGCCUUCGGGUUGUAAAGCUCUUUCAGCCGGAACGAAACGGUCACGGCUAAUACCUGUGAUCACUGACGGUACCGGAAGAAGAAGCACCGGCUAACUACGUGCCAGCAGCCGCGGUAAUACGUAGGGUGCGAGCGUUAAUCGGAAUUACUGGGCGUAAAGCGUGCGCAGGCGGUUUUGUAAGUCAGAUGUGAAAUCCCCGGGCUUAACCUGGGAACUGCGUUUGAAACUACAAAGCUAG